CGCAUGGCAUUUAUUGCUCAGGUGAUUAUCUUGAAAAAAUAUUUCCAGAACCGAGCACCCAUGAAGCGAAGAUGGCAGCAUAAUGACUGGGGAACUCUAUCGCCCCCUUGAGACCUGAGAGGUGGAUGCAAGCUGCUUUCGGCGGCCCCCGGAGAAAAGAGAACGUAACGCGGAGGGCGAGGCAUCCCAAAAUAUGAGGAUAAAUCGCAGAGUCGAGAGUCUUUUGGAUGGGCGGCAUCUGUCAGACCUCGACGCAGGCCAAGAAAACAUUCCCCACCCGAGCCG